rnacentral:rRNA from 1 species
AUACGGAGGGUGCAAGCGUUAUCCGGAUUUAUUGGGUUUAAAGGGUUCGUAGGCGGAUCAAUAAGUCAGUGGUGAAAGCCUGUGGCUCAACCAUAGAACUGCCAUUGAUACUGUUGAUCUUGAGUACACUUGAAGUGGGCGGAAUGCGUCAUGUAGCGGUGAAAUGCAUAGAUAUGACGCAGAACACCGAUUGCGAAGGCAGCUCACUAAAUUGUAACUGACGCUCAGGAACGAAAGCGUGGGGAGCGAACAGGAUUAGAAACCCCAGUAGUCC